GAGCAUAGUUAACUAAUAAUUUAGUAUUUGACGUGGAGGCGAAGAGGACACAUCAACCAAACAAGCGGACAUCAAAUUCAAAUUUUGAAAGUAGAAGUCAAAAUGAAAUUGCUCGCAGUGAUAUUGCUGUCGGUUUUGAUUGACCCCUGUAACUGCUAUUGGGGUCGUAGCGGGAGCAGGGGCGGCGACCGGAGCCGUUCUAGGUCAUGUAAUGUUAAAGGCAGUGAUGAAGCAGUCUUAGCUGAGUUAAAUGAGUUCAUGCGUCUGUACAAGGACGAUUUGAUUGAUCCUAAUUUGUGUGCUUCUCCCACUGCUCCUGAUUGCAGCUCUCUUGCUGCGAGAUAUACAGACGACUGUGUGAUCCUAGCUUCAUCAUUUUGGAGAACUUUUGAAGGAAGAGAAGAUGUCCUAAGCUUUCUUGAAAAUAUACUAAAGGCUCAGGACCCUACGUCAUAUAUCGAUGUUGUUUUUGACAAAGUUAGCGUGGACAAAAGAAGUGCUACCGGCUACGGUCAGGGAAUUCUAUAUUCCAUAAAUGAUCAAGGCGAGACGGUGGUGUUUGAUGUAAUGCGCGUCAUGAUCCACUUCGUUCGGGUCAAAGAAGGAAGAAAUUGUGUUUGGAAAAUCAAGUUCUGGCUCGAGAACAAAGAGUUCGAUGCUAAAUAAUAAUUAUAAUGUGAAAAUUAACGAGCAUUAAAAAAUAAAAGUUGCUAGCAACAA
rnacentral:misc_RNA from 1 species